CGAGUUUAUUAGCUGCGUGAACUUUCUCAUCGCAAGCCCAACACAACGCAGCUUCAUCCGCGCAGCAUAGCACCGCCGCUUCCGCCGCCUCGCACACGUUACACUGAAUCUUCAUCCUUUUUUUUUUAAUCUUUAGUUCAUCCGAAAGAAGAUUCAAAUCUCGAGAAAACGUGAUGGUUGAAAAAUAGUAUUAAGAAAGAGAAAGAAGUGGAGCAUGUUCUGUCUCCUCAAAGCUUUGAGAGGUUUAUGGUUUAAGCAACUCUUGUCUGAAGGAGGAUCUUUUGUUUUCAGAAAAAAAAUGAAUUUUAAAAUAAAAUUCUGUCUGACUAAUUAUCUGUUCAUUUGGAUUCUAGAUAAGUCAUUAGUGGAAAAUAUCAUUAAAAUUAAUAAAAUAAUAAAUAGUGGCGGUUAGGAAGAUUUCUUUUUCGAUACAAAAGUAUGAAGAAGAAGAAGAGGGUCUAAGUGCACCAUUUAUAAGUGGUGGGGUCAAACAGUAAAUAAGAAGGUCUCAAGGGGGAUAUUUUUAGGCUCACAUGAGUGAUCCAUAAGAAUACACAUAGGGUUUGACAAAAAAAAAAAAGAAUACACAUAGGAGUCUAAUAACAUGUGUCUUAAUUGCAGGAGACCAUCUCUGCUGUAGUCAAGCUGUCAAUUAGUAAACCAUGUCUGCAUCAAUUGAAUUUUCUUUGAUUCAAAACAUCACAUUAUAUAACAUCAAGAUUAUAUUAAUAC